rnacentral:tRNA from 2 species
GGGCCUGUAGCUUAGCCUGGUAGAGCGCCCGGCUCAUAACCGGGCGGCCAAGGGUUCAAAUCCCUUCGGGCCCA